CCCCAUAGGGUCCUCGGGGUCAGCGCGGUCCGCGCGGCGCCACCGGCAAAUCAGGAGCCAAGGGGACGUCGGGCAGCGAUGGACCGCAUGGACCCCCGGGAGAGAGGGGCGUACCUGGAGCUGCCGGCCCCAAUGGAUUCCCCGGCCCCAAAGGACCCCCGGGUCCCCCCGGCAAGGACGGAGUGCCGGGACACCCCGGGCAGCGCGGCGACGGCGUGAGUCGGUGCCCCAUAGCCGCCC